AGAUGUUUGCUCUUCCUGCAAAUAUUUGAGUUUGCUUCUUUAUUUUGGGUUCAUCAGGGCCGACUUCCCAGCUCUGGUGGUGAAGGCCAGCGGUCUGGCAGCAGGGAAGGGAGUCAUAGUGGCCCGAGAUCAAGACGAGGCCUGUCGAGCUGUGAUGGACAUUAUGAAGGACCGAGCGUUUGGAUCUGCAGGGGAGGAGGAGGUGUCUUGCCUGUGCUUCAGUGACGGUGGAUCACAAGCGGCUCCAGGACGGUGAUCAGAGACAAAACACUGGUGGUAUGGGAGCCUACUGCCCCACCCCACAGGUACCAGAUUCAAGGGGAAAGGUUUUAAGUGCUCAGUGAUGAACACAACAUGCUUGUGUUGGUCUUUAAUGCUGCUCAGGUGAGUGAGGAGCUGCUGCAGCAGAUCAGAGAGUCAGAAGACGGUGGACGGGAGAAGGGAGGAUGGAAUCUGUGAUUAAGGUGCUCAUUUUCCACAUCUUUCUAUUCUUGUUGUUCAGGUGUGCUGUACGCUGGGCUGAUGCUGACCAAACAGGGACCAAAAGUUCUGGAGUUCAACUGUCGCUUUGGAGAUCCUGAACACCAUGAGAGGUAAACUGGCCUCGAGCGCCCCCGUGUGGCACCAGGACAGCUCUGCAGUCACCGUCGUGAUGGCCGGCUUUGUACCAGAAAGGAGUCCAGAUCACAGGUACAGUUAUUCUUUUCAAACUGAAAUAAUCGUCAGAUUGUGAACUCAUCUGUGAUGUGCAGCUGUGUCAUGACAAAGAACCAGAUCUGAGCUUAAAACCAUAAUACCGUGCUGAAGUCACUUUAUUCUCGAACUCUUCUUUAGAAAUUAGACAAAAAUCGACCUUUUUCGCUCUUCAAACAAGCUAAAAAUUCAGUGUUCUCGAAGAUGAGUUUCAUUUUCUAACUUAAAGUGUUCUAUAAUCAAAGUCCAUCCUGGUCAGAAUCUGCAGAUACAGGAUUUAUAAAUUGGUUUUCCUUCUCGCUUUGUGAAACAGAAAACAAUGAACCAAUGUCUGAACAACACUGAGGAAUCUGAGGUAGACUUUGAUAAAACGGUCUUUCAACAUAUUUUCUCCUGGUGAUGGAUUGUAGCUGCCUUAGCAAAAUAAACAUCUUUUUCUUUCCUCAUCAGUCUCCUCGUCUCUGUGGUAAAAGAUGCAACAAAUAUUUGUCAGCUGUAUUUGUAAUAUUCAUAUGUUAAUUUAGAAGAAUACCAACAGAUAAUAGCACUAUUAUUGUUGUGUUUG